rnacentral:lncRNA from 1 species
GUUUACAAACAAAUAAAAACAAUCACUAAGUACUCAACAGUACUGCAUCAUAGCAACAAAAAUAUAGUAGCAAAUACUUUUCCAUAUACAACCGCUAGAAGUAGUGUUCUCAGGGUUAACUUUUUCACAUUGAAAGUAUAAUAAUUUUUUGUAUUUAAAGCUACCCAUAGUCAAUGGUGUUAAGAACCUGCAAAAUAAGACAAGUGUAGCAUUUUUAAAACAAGUUAAUUUAUACUGAUAGUGUAAAUGAUUAACUGUGAAUGAAUAUAAGAUUAAUCAAUAGAUCAAUCAGUUGUUACAUGUGCCUUCGAGUUGACGAUAAAACUGCAAAAAGCACCACUUAUGUGAGUCUGUUUCAUAUUCAAGAACAAGCCUAAACUUGAAGCCAAUGCACAUAUAGACUUUACACCAGCAGUACACAAACAAAACUCAUUAGUCUGGCAAUACAGUAAUAAAAUGUAAACUUGAGGAAUAAAAGCUUAUGGUCAUAUAGGUAAUACAAUAAAUCUUGGCGUAACAGGUAACGUCCAGGGAAUCGCCGUGUGACCAGGAAGUCACGUCCAAGCCAUGAAAACAACCUCCUGUAGAAAUAUAAGAUAAGACUGCCUACAAUAAACCCGGAGCUUAAUGCACCGAGUAUCGUAAGAUCUAAAUAAAUACUCACGCGUGCUUCAGUUGACCAAAGUAAAUCAUUAAGACAUGGCAAUGUAAAACAAGUUAGAUAAAAUGGUUAAGUUAUUCAUAAACAUAGCAUCUCGAUAAGAUUAAUCCCAUCUAGUGUGUGUGCGCGCACCUUUGUGCAGAAAAUUAAAAGAAGAAAGGGUAUUGAGCAAAGUAGAAAGCCAGAAAACAGAUCAGAAAAUUUUGCAGAAAAAGACCAAAAAAGCCAUCAUUCUACAAUCAUAACACAAUGAUGAAAAAAAAGUACUGCCUCUCUGUUUCAAUUCAUGUGAACUUGUUUGACUGGGCAUAGAGUUUAAGAAAAAAUGAAUACUUCUGUAAUUUGUGGUCCUAAACAAGUAAAAAAGGGGUCCAGAGUAUUUGUGUGGUUGUAAAAUCUUUUCAUUAAGGGUAGAAUUGGGAGUUUAAGCUAAAUUGUUUUCAUAUUUAGAAAUGAGUCAUUCUUUUUGGAACGGAUCAAAUAAGAAAUAAGUUCACAUAAACUGGAAUGGAGGGAGUAUGUCUUAUUUACUGACAAAAGAAACCUAAGGUUAUGAAACACAGAGUAUGUAAAAAGGUUGUAAUGAUGAAAAAUGAGAAUCAGAACUCAAAGACUAAAGUCAAGAUCCUUAUCAUUACACCAAUCUGCAGAUACAUAACGGACAUACCAAAAUAGGUUAAUAAACAAGUACAAAUUUGUCCCAAAUGUUGAAUAUAGCACUUAUAAGUGACAAACAAAUAAAAUAAAAAGAACUUAAACAUGGGCCUCACCUUAUUUAUAUACCAAAAAAGAUCUUAAUCGCGAUACUAAUAUAUGGCAGCAAUCUCUGAGGGGAAUGAAGCCUGGUCCGACGACGCAAAAAAAUAUGAUCAAAAUUCAUAGGUCUAACAA